rnacentral:rRNA from 1 species
CCCUUAGAUGUCCUGGGCUGCACGCGCGCUACACUGGAAGUUACGGAUUGAGAUACUACCUUGUCCGAAAUGGUCCAGGUAAUCACCUAAAAGCUUGUCAUAAUUGGAAUGGAUUAUUGUAACUAGUAAUCCUGAACGAGGAAUUCCUAGUAAGUCCCAGUCAACAGCUGGUACUGAUUACGUCCCUGCCCUUUGUACACACCGCCCGUCGCUACUACUGAUUGGACGUUUAAGCAAGAUUUUUAAACACUGACAGUGUGUAGUUCACGCUAUACUACAGUGAGAAGAAGAAGAUCGAGCUUACUUGUCUAGAGGAAGUAAAAGUCGUAACA